CUUUAAUCUAUAUUAGAUAAAAUAGGUGACAUCAAAUUUGUUAACACAACCAUUUGCAAAAUAACCCGGUACAAAAUUUGAAGGCAUAUCCCCUAACACAAUUCAUAAAAACCAAUAACGAUGAAAUACUGAAUACACUAGAAGAAAUGUGGGCUUUAAUGUCGGGUGGAAAAAAUGAAAAAUGAACUUUAAUGUCGCUUUUCAAAAAGCGGAUGUUUAAUGUCGGUUUUAAACCGACAUUAAAGCAGAAGCUUUAAUGUCGGUUUUAAACCGACAUUAAACAUUCUCCCUUUUUUAAAAGUGACAUUAAAGCUCAUUUUUUUUUUUUUUUUAAUAUUGUAAAAAGUCAAUGGUUUCUCUCUCUUUUUUUCCCCAAUUUAAUUCAGCAAAAACCCUAGGGUAGUCUUUCCCUCCCAUACGUUCUUUCUUUUCUUUUUCCCAUUCUUCUUCCUGUCCUUCCUCCACCCAAGCUCGUCGGCCGCCAAUUUCACACACAGAUGAUGUUACGCACAAGCUUCGGCUGACAAUCCACCACCAGACGUUCACGCACAGACGACAUUUCCGGGUACAUGUAUGCAUAUCUGUGAGUUGAAUAUAUUCCAAUCUGAACAGGCCAAGAUACAUGCAGGUUCUCUUGAGGAUGCUUCCAGCCUACUAUAAGCACGUUCGGUCCUUUGAAAAUACCCUCGUCACCAAAUUUUAUGGUCUUCAUUGUGUGAGAUUAACUGGGACUUCACAAAAGAAGGUGCGAUUUGUCAUAAUGGGAAAUCUAUUUUGUUCUGAGUACACAAUCCACAGGCGUUUUGACUUGAAAGGUUCUUCCCACGGCCGUAUAACUGAUAAACCAGAGGCAGAAAUCGAUGGAACGACAACCCUUAAAGAUCUUGACCUUAAUUAUAUAUUCCGGUUGCAGAAGAUUUGGUUCCAAGAAUUUUGUAGGUAUAAGUUAUUAACAUUUUUCCUUACCAGUUGUUUGUUAUUCACUUUUGUUCAUGAUAAAAAUUUGUAUCUCACUCCUUUGCUCCCUGAUGAAUGACCUUAACGUACUCAUCAAAUGAAUCUACAUCUGAACUCAUACUUGGAGCUGAGUUGAAAUUUUUCUGAACUGGAAUUUAUUGUAUCAUGUAGUAUAAACGUUGUUUGCUGGUUUUCUGCUUUCUUAUACUUCAUUACUUUUGAUGAAGAUACGGAACCCGAGUCUUUGCAAGUUUUUUCUUUUCUCAUUCUUACUUUUUUUCUACUUUUGUUUCUUCCCAUUUCGAUUCCUUAAAGAUCAAUGACACCCAGGUUUGGUAACCGGUUCAAAACCCACAUACCAGAACCCUCCAACAAACACACUACUCUGUUUUUACUGUGUUGAUUGAAGGAUCUGUGGCCUCUCAUUCUGUUGAUCCCUUUGGGUUUUGCUGAUUAGGUUUUCUGGGUUUUGAUUUGGAGAAUGGCGGGGAUUUGAGGGCAUUCUGUUGAUUGUGGAUGGAGAAUUGGAGGAGGAUAAGGAAAUGGGGUUUGUUGUUGCAUUUAGGAUCUGUGAUUGGUGAUUGUGUUUUGAUUUGGUCUAAAGGGGAAAUAUGUUGGCUUUUCCUGGAACUCCAGGGACAUUGACUGGGUUUGUGUUGAGAAUUUUGCAAUGUGUUUUUGCUGCUGGGUCUAUUGCUUCCAUGGCUACUUCUGUUGGCUUCUAUAACUUCACAGCUUUUUGGUAUUUACUCAUUCUCUUCUCGCCCUUUUCUUCUUUUGGUAUGAUUAGUAUUGAUUGUAUUUCGAAUCGAAUAUUCUUCAAGGGGUCUUUUUUUUAGUAUUGUAUGACUGGUGAAUCUUUGAUUGAAUUAGAAAUUUAGGGAAUGCUGCUGCUUAGUCUUAUCCUAUUUGUGACCCUUGCCUUUUACUGGUGGUUUGGCUGCUUUUGGUUAUAGCUUUUGCCUUGCAAGUUUGAAAAUAGCUGAUUUGAAUAGUCCACUCCGUUUGAGCUUUGAUUUUAUGAAACCUUUGAAUAAUUGUACGGGGAAUUUGGGGUCUUAAGAUAAGUGUGGGAUUAUUGCCUUGGUUAUUUUCUAUCGUUUGUGAGUAUUCUUCUUCAUUUUCUUUCAUUUGACUUGUGUAUUUUAUGCAAGGGAUACAUAUUUGGUUCUCUCGUUCUCUUAUUCCCUUUGAGUGCUAUUUGAUUCAAGAAAUGGUUGCAAGUGAGUACAAUUAGCCAGACCCUCAUCUUUGUGACAAGAUCUUGAAGUUGGUCAUUUGUGAAGCGUUCUACUUUUCUUUCUUUCUUUUUUUCCAAAGGAUGAUCAGUGUAAUAAUUAAGCUUCAUAAUUUCUGUGUUUGGAUCCAAGUUGUAUAUAAAUGUCACAUUAUUAAGAUUUCAUUUUGUAUAUGUACAAGUAAAAGAUUUCGUUUUUAA